rnacentral:rRNA from 1 species
AUUGAACGCUGGCGGCAUGCUUUACACAUGCAAGUCGAACGGUAACAGGCCGCAAGGUGCUGACGAGUGGCGAACGGGUGAGUAAUGCAUCGGAACGUGCCCAGUCGUGGGGGAUAACGCAGCGAAAGCUGUGCUAAUACCGCAUACGAUCUAUGGAUGAAAGCGGGGGACCGUAAGGCCUCGCGCGAUUGGAGCGGCCGCUGUCAGAUUAGGUAGUUGGUGGGGUAAAGGCUCACCAAGCCAACGAUCUGUAGCUGGUCUGAGAGGACGACCAGCCACACUGGGACUGAGACACGGCCCAGACUCCUACGGGAGGCAGCAGUGGGGAAUUUUGGACAAUGGGCGCAAGCCUGAUCCAGCAAUGCCGCGUGCAGGAAGAAGGCCUUCGGGUUGCAAACUGCUUUUGUACGGAACGAAAAGGUUUGGGUUAAUACCCUGGGCCGAUGACGGUACCGUAAGAAUAAGCACCGGCUAACUACGUGCCAGCAGCCGCCGUAACAC